AUACUGAAGCCUAUGGUGUUUAGUGUUGUUUUAAAAUUUCUAAACACAUUCUACAUUUGUAUUAAUGUAUAAUAACUCUCUUUCAUGGUACAUGAGCAUCGUUUUAAUUUUUUGUCAUUUAAUUUAUUAAAACUUCAUAAUAUUCCCUAAAUUGGUGGACUAACCACUAGAAAAUCGCUAUUCUCUAGAAAAACGAAUACAACAAAGGUUCUAAACCUCUUUGAACUUCAUCAAAUGUUAGUGUAGGAUGGAAAUAUGCAUUAAAAAUUAUUUUUAUUUUUUUUUUAAUUUUUCUCAAAAUCUAUGGGUUAACACCACUAUGAAAAUAUUGAGUUUUUGGGUAAAUACUCUAUAAACUGAAGCAUAUGAUCUUUAGUGUUGUUUUAAAAUUUCUAAACACAUUUUACAUUGGAAUUAAUCUAUGAUAAACUCUCUUUCAUGGUACAUGAGCAUCGUUUUAAUUUUGUUUUCAAUUAAUUUAGUAAAACUUCAUAAUACUCCCUAAUUUUUUUUUUUUUAAUACUCCCUAAAUUGGUGGACUAACCAUUAGAAAAUCGCUAUUCUCUAGAAAAACGGAGACAACAAAAGUUCCAAACCUCUUUGACCU
rnacentral:lncRNA from 1 species